UAGCGCUACUAUCUCCGCCCACUCGACCGCCAUGUGGUAGCCGAGCGAGGGCCUCGGGUGGCGC
rnacentral:pre_miRNA from 1 species